rnacentral:rRNA from 3 species
GUCUGAGAAACAAACAAAAACAGCCAAAACUUUCAACAACGGAUCUCUUGGCUCUGGCAUCGAUGAAGAACGCAGCGAAAUGCGAUACGUAAUGCGAAUUGCAGAAUUCAGCGAGUCAUCGAAUCUUUGAACGCACAUUGCGCCCGCCAGCAUUCUGGCGGGCAUGCCUGUCCGAGCGUCAUUUCCCCCCUCAGCA